UUAAGUCAAAUUUGUAUGGAGUUGGAACUCUUGCCUACGUUUUCCGUUAGGGGCGCUGUUCCAACUGCAUACAAAUUCGAGUUA
rfam:Bombyx mori DNA, contig: Bm_scaf14_contig10967, strain: p50T/Dazao, build 2, whole genome shotgun sequence.